GUGAGCUAGGCCAAGCUUACUCAAAGUGGCAAACAUGAAGUCACAAUCCACAAUAUCGAAAGCCUUCUCGUUAUCCAUGUAAAGUAGAAGGACUAGGACUACCUUUUUUCACCCAGUGCAUCAGGUUCAGGACUCUGAUGCUGUGGUCCCUGACUUUCCUUCCUGAGAUAAAUCCAGUCUGAUCUGGGUGUAUCAGAAUUUGUAAGGAUGGUGAAUUAUGUU